UCUGAGAGCUGCGGGCUGGUUGGAUUUGCCCGAGUGUUGUCCCUUGCCGUUUUAUUAAGAAGCUGCUUUCCCGUUAUUGGCGAUUCUGCUUCUUCCGCUUUCCUCCUGCCUCUUGGUGGGGAUUUAGGUUCCGGCUCGUGGAAAAUAGUCGUGGCCUGGAUUUCAGGGCCCCUGGCACCUCGCACUGAGCUCUCCAGGAAUUAAAAAGCAUAAUGUUUUCCGUGGCAAUGCGAUGUCUUCUGUUCCUCACACCAAACUUCAUGAAAGCCCCAAGCUGGUCUGGUCUUCAGUGUCUGCCCUGAGGGUAAUCAUCAUGAGGGGACCACAAGCAGGAUCACAGAAAAAGAAUAGAGAUGCAAAGUAGUCUGUCCUGAACCUAAACCAACAGGAGGGGGACAGGAGCUGUUUGGGAAGCCAGUGACAGACGUUCAGAAGCCUUCUGUGCAUAGGAAGAAGCAAAAAGCAGCUUAAUGAAUUAGAGAUGAUUGGAGGUGGUUGAUAAGGACCGAGUCCAAAGGGCCAGUACUUAAGUGGCUGAAUAGUGAGGUUACAAGCAGUCAUUAUUAAGGGGAGGCAUCGGUUUGGAGUAUGCUGAGUCUGAGAUGACGGUCAGAGAUCCAAAGGAAGAGGUCAACUCAGGUUUUGGAUAUAAAGGUUCAGGGGAGAGGACACAGGACUCACGGGGGAACUCAAGGCUGGAGACACACGUGUGGGAGUCCUCCGUGCAGAGAUGCCAUCUGAAGCCAUGACCUAGCUGAGGGCACCAACAGAGGGGUGUAGACAGAUAAGUAAAGGGAAGGAGGGGCACCUGGGUGGCUCAGUCGGUUAAGCGUCCGACUUCAGCUCACGUCAUUAUCUCACGG